rnacentral:rRNA from 1 species
UACGUAGGGGGCAAGCGUUGUCCGGAAUCAUUGGGCGUAAAGAGCGUGUAGGCGGCCAGACAGGUCCGUUGUGAAAACUCGAGGCUCAACCUCGAGACGCCGGUGGAAACCGUAAGGCUAGAGUCCGGAAGAGGAGAGUGGAAUUCCUGGUGUAGCGGUGAAAUGCGCAGAUAUCAGGAGGAACACCCGUGGCGAAAGCGGCUCUCUGGGACGGUACUGACGCUGAGACGCGAAAGCGUGGGGGAGCAAACAGG